rnacentral:rRNA from 1 species
UACGUAGGGUGCAAGCGUUGUCCGGAAUUAUUGGGCGUAAAGAGCUCGUAGGCGGUCUGUUGCGUCGGCUGUGAAAACCCGGGGCUCAACUCCGGGCCUGCAGCCGAUACGGGCAGACUAGAGUUCGGCAGGGGAGACUGGAAUUCCUGGUGUAGCGGUGAAAUGCGCAGAUAUCAGGAGGAACACCGGUGGCGAAGGCGGGUCUCUGGGCUGAUACUGACGCUGAGGAGCGAAAGCGUGGGGAGCAAACAGG